rnacentral:rRNA from 1 species
UACGAAGGGAGCUAGCGUUGUUCGGAAUCACUGGGCGUAAAGCGCACGUAGGCGGAUGUGUCAGUCAGGGGGUGAAAUCCCAGGGCUCAACCCUGGAACUGCGCCCGAUACUGCAGUGCUUGAGGGAGACAGAGGUAAGCGGAACUGAUGGUGGAGCGGUGAAAUGCGUUGAUAUCAUCAGGAACACCGGUGGCGAAAGCGGCUUACUGGGUCUCUUCUGACGCUGAGAUACGAAAGCUAGGGGAGCGAAGGGG